rnacentral:rRNA from 1 species
AGAUUGAACGCUGGCGGCAGGCCUAACACAUGCAAGUCGAGCGGAUGAAGGGAGCUUGCUUCCUGAUUCAGCGGCGGACGGGUGAGUAAUGCCUAGGAAUCUGCCUGGUAGUGGGGGACAACGUUCCGAAAGGGACGCUAAUACCGCAUACGUCCUACGGGAGAAAGUGGGGGAUCUUCGGACCUCACGCUAUCAGAUGAGCCUAGGUCGGAUUAGCUAGUAGGUGAGGUAAAGGCUCACCUAGGCGACGAUCCGUAACUGGUCUGAGAGGAUGAUCAGUCACACUGGAACUGAGACACGGUCCAGACUCCUACGGGAGGCAGCAGUGGGGAAUAUUGGACAAUGGGCGAAAGCCUGAUCCAGCCAUGCCGCGUGUGUGAAGAAGGUCUUCGGAUUGUAAAGCACUUUAAGUUGGGAGGAAGGGCAGUAAGUUAAUACCUUGCUGUUUUGACGUUACCAACAGAAUAAGCACCGGCUAACUUCGUGCCAGCAGCCGCGGUAAUACGAAGGGUGCAAGCGUUAAUCGGAAUUACUGGGCGUAAAGCGCGCGUAGGUGGUUUGGUAAGAUGGAUGUGAAAUCCCCGGGCUCAACCUGGGAACUGCAUCCAUAACUGCCUGACUAGAGUACGGUAGAGGGUGGUGGAAUUUCCUGUGUAGCGGUGAAAUGCGUAGAUAUAGGAAGGAACACCAGUGGCGAAGGCGACCACCUGGACUGAUACUGACACUGAGGUGCGAAAGCGUGGGGAGCAAACAGGAUUAGAUACCCUGGUAGUCCACGCCGUAAACGAUGUCGACUAGCCGUUGGGAUCCUUGAGAUCUUAGUGGCGCAGCUAACGCGAUAAGUCGACCGCCUGGGGAGUACGGCCGCAAGGUUAAAACUCAAAUGAAUUGACGGG